ACCGAUUGAUCCUUUGCCAGAGGACCGGGGGUGGGGAAAGAGAGAUGAGCGUUCGCACACAGGCCUUAACCAGACCCCCAAGCCACUAACAAAAGACCUGAUGACUCAGCCACCAAACAGGACUUGAACCCGUGGCAGCUGCUUUUCCCCACCCGGUGUAGCUGCUCUCCGGAAACCACGCCUUGUAGGAACUCAAUCAAUUCUUGUUAACGCUCUCGCCCCAGACAAGCAGCUUUGAAGAAAGCCGUUUUAGGCAACACCAUCAGCCUUUUGCUGUCGUUCACUAAGGGUUUAGCAGCUCGGUAUUGAUUUCCUUGCGGCUGCCUCUGAACUUUAAUUCCUGCUGCAGAAAAACAAGGCUUUCUCUGGGACAUUUCCUGUCCAAGUGGCGGGUAACAACCAUUCCUGGGAUGCUGAUUUCCCCAGCGAUGCUGCGAACUGCAGGAUGCCUGCAACACGGCCUUUGUCUGUUCCAAAGAGUGAUUUCUGUAGCUGCAGGAGAUCCCUUCAAAUGUGAGCUGCAGCUCCACCUCCAUCCUAAGUCAGCGGUACCUUCCAACCCCCACUUUUGGAAAUCCAAUGACCACCCCCUUUUCCUCACACUGAUUUGCAGCCGCAAGCUUUAAGAAGGUGCUUAGUAUUUAAAUCAUGUUUGUUGCAUCCAGGUUUCUCUCCAAUGUUAAUUCCUAGCGAUCGGAAAAGACCUUAAUAAUCUUCUCUUGCAAGUACCGCUCCGAUAGUUUAUCCCCUCUACAAGAUCUCCACCAAGUGGCCAUUCUGGCUUUGCUUGAACACCUCUGAGGACAGGAAACUCACCCCCUCCAUAGGAAAGCUAUUGCCUCUCAGGAAACCUCCGAGAGGUAGAAAAUUUCACUGUGUGGCAUCAAACUUCACCUUCCUAAAACAUCAGUCUUUCAAGGAGACUGUCAGCAUCCCCAGCACUGAGAAAGGACUGGAAUCUCUGUGUUUGUCCACCACUAAAAUCACCACAUUAUCUGGCACGUAGUAGGUACUUAAUGUUUGUUAAGUUAAUGAAUGCAUGAAGUCAACAGUUACUGAGUAUCUAGGCAGGGCCACGCAUCGUGCUUGCAUAAUGCACACCUUAGCUAGGAACAAGUCAUGUUGAUAUGGAAUCCGGCAAGACAACAGCUUACCUGGUUGUGCUCACUCUGAAUCCCGGGCUCUUGACUAUGUAACAAAUGGCCCACUUUUCCAGGUAGCCCUGGUGAGGCUUUUUAACUCUGACUCUAUAAAGAUAACAGGAGGAUUUGUUGAAUAUCUAACCCCACGAUGGGAUAAAAGCUGAACAGAGUUUAUUAAGUUACUCAACCUCUCUGGGUUUCGGUUUCUUCAUGCGUAAAGUGGGGUGAGAAUAAUAAUUCCUACCUCCUAGCAUUGUUGUGAGGAUUGAGUCAAUAAUAUAAGAAAGGUGCUUGGAAUAAAUACCAGCCAUUAUUAUUCACACUGUGUACUGCUCCAAAGACACCUGUGAAGAAUAGACAGUGGCCUUCCCUGCCAGACUCAUGCUCCUCAUCUCUGAAGACCUGGACCAGAUCCACAACACCUAUGUGGGUGAAGAAACCACCUCCAUGGUGGGCCUCCCCAGAGUCCCCCACGUGUUUUCUAUGCCUCUCAUCCCAAUUCGGCUUGAGUUCCUGCUAUGGGACAGGCUGUGCUGUAUGUAUCUGUGAAUAUUUUCUCAUAUUCAUCUCUUGAGGGAAGCCUUGCUAUCCCCAUUUUACAGACCAAGA
rnacentral:lncRNA from 1 species